rnacentral:misc_RNA from 1 species
GGAUGAAGAACGUAGCGAAAUGCGAUAAGUAAUGUGAAUUGCAGAAUUCAGUGAAUCAUCGAAUCUUUGAACGCACAUUGCGCCCGCCGGCACUCCGGCGGGCAUGCCUGUCCGAGCGUCAUUUCAACCCUCAGGCCCGAACCCCCCCGGGGGGGGCGGGCCUGGUGUUGGGGCUCGGGGUCCGCGAGGCCCCCGUCCCCUAAAUCCAGUGGCGGUCGCGCCGCACCCUCCCCUGCGUAGUAGCACACCUCGCACCGGAGAGCAGCGCGUCCACGCCGUGAAACCCCCAACUUACCAAGGUUGACCUCGGAUCAGGUAGGAAUACCCGCUGAACUUAAGCAUAUCAAUAAGCGGAGGA